CACGUAGGGCGCAAGCGUUGUCCGGAAUUAUUGGGCGUAAAGAGCUCGUAGGCGGUCUGUUGCGUCCGCUGUGAAAACUCGGGGCUUAACCCCGAGCCUGCAGUGGAUACGGGCAGACUAGGAGGUAGGUAGGGGAGAAUGGAAUUCCCGGUGUAGCGGUGAAAUGCGCAGAUAUCGGGAAGGAACACCGGUGGCGAAGGCGGUUCUCUGGGCCUUACCUGACGCUGAGGAGCGAAAGCGUGGGAGCGAAC
rnacentral:rRNA from 1 species